rnacentral:rRNA from 1 species
UACGAAGGGAGCUAGCGUUGUUCGGAAUUACUGGGCGUAAAGCGUGCGUAGACGGUUACGUAAGUCGGGUGUGAAAGCCCCGGGCUCAACCUGGGAAUUGCAUUCGAGACUGCAUAGCUAGGGUGCGGAAGAGGGAAGCGGAAUUUCCGGUGUAGCGGUGAAAUGCGUAGAUAUCGGAAGGAACACCAGUGGCGAAAGCGGCUUCCUGGUCCAGCACCGACGUUCAGGCACGAAAGCGUGGGGAGCAAACAGG